UGCAGUCGAGCGAACCUUCGGGUUAGCGGCGGACGGGUGAGUAACGCGUGGGAACGUACCCUCUUCUGCGGGAUAGCCACUGGAAACGGUGAGUAAUACCGCAUACGCCCUUUGGGGGAAAGAUUUAUCGGAGGAGGAUCGGCCCGCGUUGGAUUAGGUAGUUGGUGGGGUAAUGGCCUACCAAGCCUACGAUCCAUAGCUGGUUUUAGAGGAUGAUCAGCCACACUGGGACUGAGACACGGCCCAGACUCCUACGGGAGGCAGCAGUGGGGAAUCUUAGACAAUGGGCGCAAGCCUGAUCUAGCCAUGCCGCGUGAGUGACGAAGGCCUUAGGGUCGUAAAGCUCUUUCGCCAGAGAUGAUAAUGACAGUAUCUGGUAAAGAAACCCCGGCUAACUCCGUGCCAGCAGCCGCGGUAAUACGGAGGGGGUUAGCGUUGUUCGGAAUUACUGGGCGUAAAGCGCACGUAGGCGGAUUGGAAAGUUGGGGGUGAAAUCCCAGGGCUCAACCCUGGAACGGCCUCCAAAACUCCCAGUCUAGAGUUCGAGAGAGGUGAGUGGAAUUCCGAGUGUAGAGGUGAAAUUCGUAGAUAUUCGGAGGAACACCAGUGGCGAAGGCGGCUCACUGGCUCGAUACUGACGCUGAGGUGCGAAAGUGUGGGGAGCAAACAGGAUUAGAUACCCUGGUAGUCCACACCGUAAACGAUGA
rnacentral:rRNA from 1 species